AGUUUGAUCCUGGCUCAGGAUGAACGCUGGCGGCGUGCCUAACACAUGCAAGUCGAGCGAUUCUCUUCGGAGAAGAGCGGCGGACGGGUGAGUAACGCGUGGGUAACCUGCCCUGUACACACGGAUAACAUACCGAAAGGUAUGCUAAUACGAGAUAAUAUGUUUUUGUCGCAUGGUAGAAGUAUCAAAGCUUUUGCGGUACAGGAUGGACCCGCGUCUGAUUAGCUAGUUGGUAAGGUAACGGCUUACCAAGGCGACGAUCAGUAGCCGACCUGAGAGGGUGAUCGGCCACAUUGGAACUGAGACACGGUCCAAACUCCUACGGGAGGCAGCAGUGGGGAAUAUUGCACAAUGGGCGAAAGCCUGAUGCAGCAACGCCGCGUGAGCGAUGAAGGCCUUCGGGUCGUAAAGCUCUGUCCUCAAGGAAGAUAAUGACGGUACUUGAGGAGGAAGCCCCGGCUAACUACGUGCCAGCAGCCGCGGUAAUACGUAGGGGGCUAGCGUUAUCCGGAAUUACUGGGCGUAAAGGGUGCGUAGGUGGUUUCUUAAGUCAGAGGUGAAAGGCUACGGCUCAACCGUAGUAAGCCUUUGAAACUGGGAAACUUGAGUGCAGGAGAGGAGAGUGGAAUUCCUAGUGUAGCGGUGAAAUGCGUAGAUAUUAGGAGGAACACCAGUUGCGAAGGCGGCUCUCUGGACUGUAACUGACACUGAGGCACGAAAGCGUGGGGAGCAAACAGGAUUAGAUACCCUGGUAGUCCACGCCGUAAACGAUGAGUACUAGCUGUCGGAGGUUACCCCCUUCGGUGGCGCAGCUAACGCAUUAAGUACUCCGCCUGGGAAGUACGCUCGCAAGAGUGAAACUCAAAGGAAUUGACG
rnacentral:rRNA from 1 species